rnacentral:rRNA from 1 species
AGUGAACGCUGGCGGUAGGCCUAACACAUGCCAGUCGAACGGCAGCACAGUAAGAGCUUGCUCUUACGGGUGGCGAGUGGCGGACGGGUGAGGAAUACAUCGGAAUCUACUUUUUCGUGGGGGAUAACGUAGGGAAACUUACGCUAAUACCGCAUACGACCUACGGGUGAAAGCAGGGGAUCUUCGGACCUUGCGCGAUUGAAUGAGCCGAUGUCGGAUUAGCUAGUUGGCGGGGUACAGGCCCACCAAGGCGAUGAUCCGUAGCUGGUCUGAGAGGAUGAUCCGCCACACUGGAAGUGAGACACGGUCCAGACACCUACGGGAGGCAGCAGUGGGGAAUAGUGGACAAUGGGCGCAAGCCUGAUCCAGCGGUACCGCGUGGGUGAAGAAGGCCUUCGGGUUGUAAAGCCCUUUUGUUGGGAAAGAAAAGCAGCAGGUUAAUACCCCGCUGUUCUGACGGUACCCAAAGAAUAAGCACCGGCUAACUUCGUG